rnacentral:rRNA from 3 species
UCCCCGUUGGUGAACCAGCGGAAGGAUCAUUA